UUYUYUYUGAAUUCAAWARKGARUUAAACCYSCCCMGUGGAGUAAUUCUAAACGGCCGCGGAAUUUUAACCGUGCUAAGGUAGCAGAAUCHUUUGUCUUUUAAUUAAAGACUUGUAUGAAUGGUUUAAUGAAAUAAAGCUAUCUCUAAAAUAUUAAAUAAAAAUUAUUUUUAAAGUGAAAAAUCUUUAAUAAAAUAAAAAGACAAAAAGACCCUAUAGAGUUUAAUUUAUCUAUAUAGACCCAUAUAUAUAUAAAUUUAGUUGGGGCAACUAAUGAAAAAAAAAAUUUCUUUUAAAAAAAAAAAAUAAAAUCAUUAAUUUAAUACUAUAAAACAAAUUACCUUAGGGGUAACAGCGUAAUUUUUUUUAAGAGCUCAAAUCGAAGAAAAAAAUUACGACCUCGAUGUUGGAUUAAAGUAACCYAAAAWAGAAAAAGAUUUUWKGGGUAGBCKGUUCGACUAAYAAUUYUUUWC
rnacentral:rRNA from 1 species